GACGAGGACAAAAUUCAUGACAUGGCCCUUCUUCGUGUCGUGAAGACAGCACAUGGCGGUGAAACUCCAAGUGGAGAGGGAAGCUCAGUUGAUGAAAACACUCCAGGAACCAGCCAGGAGCGGCAUUUCAAAAUUACACCAAGUCAUGGUGACGACGAUGGGGCAGGAUUUGUACUUCCGGACUUCGACUUUCUUAAAGCGGCUGCA